GUUACUUUCAGGCCUUUUGGCUAAAAUCUGUUCUCAUCAGUUUAAUAUUUGAUACUCCCUCAACGAAAGGACUUUAUAUCAAACAGUUUUUUGGGCUCAAUUCUGUGCUUUGGGAUGGACACCAAGAACUGCUGCUGGCAGCCCUAAAGCACAACCAAAU
rnacentral:snRNA from 1 species